AAUGUGUAAUGGUUUUAGAAAAGAUCAAAAAACAUUGAACUCACAAACAUGUUUUCAUACAUCGAUGUGCAGAAAGGAAGGCCCGUUGGGAUUUGGGAUUGCCCAGGGGAACGACAGAAUGAUAGGAGGAUGCUGGAAUCAAACUGUAUCACAAUGGUUUCGGUGCACAUGUACCUUUAAAUUCUUUGCUCACCGGUAGUGCAUCGAGGUGCGUAUAUUGAAAGCCACAAAGCAGAGAUACCCAACCCAAAGAAUGAGGAGGUCUCAGAGGUAUCGCCAUAGAAACGGUUAGGAUGAAUGACAAUAAUCUUAGAGAGUCAACAGCAGACACUGGCACGACCAUAGGAAGUCAAGACAAAGUUCACUUAAUUCUGUUCUUAAAGGAAAAAUAACAGAGCCCCCAGGUGCGAGUCGCACUCAUCGGGGUCUUCUCAAGGCGGUCCUGCUCUACCUGACAGUUCACUGCCCACACUACCCAGCAGGACUGUUUAGGAGUCACACCAGGAGGACAAUAAAUGUCUCCUUGUGUCAAUAAGACCAGCUGUUCCAUCUGAGUCACUGCUGGCUCUCAAUGCAAACAGGGACUACUUUAUUAAACCAAAGAAAAA